rnacentral:rRNA from 1 species
UGGGGAAUUUUGGACAAUGGGGGAAACCCUGAUCCAGCCAUCCCGCGUGUGCGAUGAAGGCCUUCGGGUUGUAAAGCACUUUUGGCAGGAAAGAAACGUCAUGGGUUAAUACCCCGUGAAACUGACGGUACCUGUAGAAUAAGCACCGGCUAACUACGUGCCAGCAGCCGCGGUAAUACGUAGGGUGCAAGCGUUAAUCGGAAUUACUGGGCGUAAAGCGUGCGCAGGCGGUUCGGAAAGAAAGAUGUGAAAUCCCAGAGCUCAACUUUGGAACUGCAUUUUUAACUACCGGGCUAGAGUGUGUCAGAGGGAGGUGGAAUUCCGCGUGUAGCAGUGAAAUGCGUAGAUAUGCGGAGGAACACCGAUGGCGAAGGCAGCCUCCUGGGAUAACACUGACGCUCAUGCACGAAAGCGUGGGGAGCAAACAGG